UACGGAGGGAGCUAGCGUUGUUCGGAAUUACUGGGCGUAAAGCGCACGUAGGCGGCUUUGUAAGUUAGAGGUGAAAGCCCGGAGCUCAACUCCGGAACUGCCUUUAAGACUGCAUCGCUUGAACGUCGGAGAGGUAAGUGGAAUUCCGAGUGUAGAGGUGAAAUUCGUAGAUAUUCGGAAGAACACCAGUGGCGAAGGCGACUUACUGGACGACUGUUGACGCUGAGGUGCGAAAGCGUGGGGAGCAAACAGG
rnacentral:rRNA from 1 species